AUGAGAAGAGCGUAGGGCAGAGAUGAGAAGAGCGUAGGGCAGAGAUGAGUAGAGAGUAGGGCAGAGAUAAGAGUGUAGGGCAGAGAUGAGAGGAGCGUAGGGCAGAGAUAAGAAGAGCGUAGGGCAGAGAUAAGAAGAGCGUAGGGCAGAGAUGAGAAGAGCGUAGGGCAGAGAUGAGAAGAGUGUAGGGCAGAGAUGAGAAGAGUGUAGGGCAGAGAUGAGAAGAGUGUAGGGCAGAGAUGAGAAGAGUGUAGGGCAGAGAUGAGAAGAGUGUAAGGCAGAGAUGAGAAGAUCGUAGGGCAGAGAUGAGAAGAGCGUAGGGCAGAGAUGAGAAGAGCGUAGGGCAGAGAUGAGCGUAGGGCAGAGAUGAGUGUAUGGCAGAGAUGAGUGUAGGGCAGAGAUGAGUGUAGGGCAGAGAUAAGAGUGGAGGACAUAGAUAAGACUGGAGGACAGAGAUGUGUGUAGGGCAGAGAUAAGAGUGGAGGACAGAGAUAAGACUGGAGGACAGAGAUGUGUGUAGGGCAGAGAUGAGUGUAGGGCAGAGAUAAGAGUGGAGGACAUAGAUAAGACUGGAGGACAGAGAUGUGUGUAGGGCAUAGAUAAGAGUGGAGGACAGAGAUAAGAAGACUGUAGGGCAGAAAUGAUAAGUGAGAAGAAGAAGAGAGAAAUGUAGACAGAGUGAGAUGCGUGGAGAGAGAGAGGAGAGAGAGAGAUGUGGAGAGAGAGAGAGAUGUGGAGAGAGAGAGGAGAGAGAGAGAUAGAGAGUAGAGAGAGAGAGAUGUGGAGAGAGAGAGAGAUGUGGAGAGAGAGAGGAGAGAGAGAUGUGGAGAGAGAGAAGAGAGAGAGAGAUGUGGAGAGAGAGAAGAGAGAGAGAUAUGUGGAGAGAGAGAAGAGAGAGAGAUGUGGAGAGAGAGAAGAGAGAGAUGUGGAGAGAGAGAGAGAGAGUAGAGAGAGAGAUGUGGAGAGAG
ensembl:lncRNA